rnacentral:rRNA from 1 species
GACGAACGCUGGCGGCGUGCCUAAUACAUGCAAGUUGAGCGCUGAAGGUUGGUACUUGUACCAACUGGAUGAGCAGCGAACGGGUGAGUAACGCGUGGGGAAUCUGCCUUUGAGCGGGGGACAACAUUUGGAAACGAAUGCUAAUACCGCAUAAAAACUUUAAACACAAGUUUUAAGUUUGAAAGAUGCAAUUGCAUCACUCAAAGAUGAUCCCGCGUUGUAUUAGCUAGUUGGUGAGGUAAAGGCUCACCAAGGCGGUGAUACAUAGCCGACCUGAGAGGGUGAUCGGCCACAUUGGGACUGAGACACGGCCCAAACUCCUACGGGAGGCAGCAGUAGGGAAUCUUCGGCAAUGGACGAAAGUCUGACCGAGCAACGCCGCGUGAGGGAAGAAGGUUGUCGGGUCGUAAAACUCUGUUGGUAGAGAAGAACGUUGGUGAGAGUGGAAAGCUCAUCAAGUGACGGUAACUACCCAGAAAGGGACGGCUAACUACGUG